rnacentral:rRNA from 1 species
AUGAACGCUGGCGGCGUGCCUAAUACAUGCAAGUCGAGCGCACAGACGAGGAGCUUGCUCCUCUGACGUUAGCGGCGGACGGGUGAGUAACACGUGGAUAACCUACCUAUAAGACUGGGAUAACUUCGGGAAACCGGAGCUAAUACCGGAUAAUAUAUUGAACCGCAUGGUUCAAUAGUGAAAGACGGUUUUGCUGUCACUUAUAGAUGGAUCCGCGCCGCAUUAGCUAGUUGGUAAGGUAACGGCUUAACAAGGCAACGAUGCGUAGCCGACCUGAGAGGGUGAUCGGCCACACUGGAACUGAGACACGGUCCAGACUCCUACGGGAGGCAGCAGUAGGGAAUCUUCCGCAAUGGGCGAAAGCUUGACGGAGCAACGCCGCGUGAGUGAUGAAGGUCUUCGGAUCGUAAAACUCUGUUAUUAGGGAAGAACAAAUGUGUAAGUAACUAUGCACGUCUUGACGGUACCUAAUCAGAAAGCCACGGCUAACUACGUG